rnacentral:rRNA from 1 species
GACGAACGCUGGCGGCGUGCUUAACACAUGCAAGUCGAACGGAAAGGCCCUGCUUUUGUGGGGUGCCCGAGUGGCGAACGGGUGAGUAACACGUGAGUAACCUGCCCUUGACUUUGGGAUAACUUCAGGAAACUGGGGCUAAUACCGGAUAGGAGCUCCUGCUGCAUGGUGGGGGUUGGAAAGUUUCGGCGGUUGGGGAUGGACUCGCGGCUUAUCAGCUUGUUGGUGGGGUAGUGGCUUACCAAGGCUUUGACGGGUAGCCGGCCUGAGAGGGUGACCGGCCACAUUGGGACUGAGAUACGGCCCAGACUCCUACGGGAGGCAGCAGUGGGGAAUAUUGCACAAUGGGCGGAAGCCUGAUGCAGCAACGCCGCGUGCGGGAUGACGGCCUUCGGGUUGUAAACCGCUUUCGCCUGUGACGAAGCGUGAGUGACGGUAAUGGGUAAAGAAGCACCGGCUAACUACGUGCCAGCAGCCGCGGUGAUACGUAGGGUGCGAGCGUUGUCCGGAUUUAUUGGGCGUAAAGGGCUCGUAGGUGGUUGAUCGCGUCGGAAGUGUAAUCUUGGGGCUUAACCCUGAGCGUGCUUUCGAUACGGGUUGACUUGAGGAAGGUAGGGGAGAAUGGAGUUCCUGGUGGAGCGGUGGAAUGCGCAGAUAUCAGGAGGAACACCAGUGGCGAAGGCGGUUCUCUGGGCCUUUCCUGACGCUGAGGAGCGAAAGCGUGGGGAGCGAACAGGCUUAGAUACCCUGGUAGUCCACGCUGUAAACGGUGGGUACUAGGUGUGGGGUCCAUUCCACGGGUUCCGUGCCGUAGCUAACGCUUUAAGUACCCCGCCUGGGGAGUACGGCCGCAAGGCUAAAACUCAAAGGAAUUGACGGGGCCCCGCACAAGCGGCGGAGCAUGCGGAUUAAUUCGAUGCAACGCGUAGAACCUUACCUGGGUUUGACAUGGAUCGGGAGUGCUCAGAGAUGGGUGUGCCUCUUUUGGGGUCGGUUCACAGGUGGUGCAUGGCUGUCGUCAGCUCGUGUCGUGAGAUGUUGGGUUAAGUCCCGCAACGAGCGCAACCCUUGUUCACUGUUGCCAGCACGUUAUGGUGGAGACUCAGUGGAGACCGCCGGGGUCAACUCGGAGGAAGGUGGGGAUGACGUCAAGUCAUCAUGCCCCUUAUGUCCAGGGCUUCACGCAUGCUACAAUGGCUGGUACAGAGAGUGGCGAGCCUGUGAGGGUGAGCGAAUCCCGGAAAGCCGGUCUCAGUUCGGAUUGGGGUCUGCAACUCGACCUCAUGAAGUCGGAGUCGCUAGUAAUCGCAGAUCAGCAACGCUGCGGUGAAUACGUUCCCGGG